CUGAUGGCGACCGGCGUACGGGUGAGUAACGCGUAUCCAACCUGCCCUUUACUAUGGGACAGCCCGUCGAAAGGCGGAUUAAUACCGUAUGUUGUCAUGUUGAUGCAUAUUUUCAUGACCAAAGGCUUCGGCCGGUAAAGGAUGGGGAUGCGUCUGAUUAGCUUGCCGGCGGGGUAACGGCCCACCGGGGCGACGAUCAGUAGGGGUUCUGAGAGGAAGGUCCCCCACAUUGGGACUGAGACACGGUCCAAACUCCUACGGAAGGCAGCAG
rnacentral:rRNA from 1 species